rnacentral:rRNA from 1 species
UACGUAGGGGGCAAGCGUUAUCCGGAUUUAUUGGGCGUAAAGCGAGCGCAGGUGGUUUAUUAAGUCUGGUGUAAAAGGCAGUGGCUCAACCAUUGUAUGCAUUGGAAACUGGUAGACUUGAGUGCAGGAGAGGAGAGUGGAAUUCCAUGUGUAGCGGUGAAAUGCGUAGAUAUAUGGAGGAACACCGGUGGCGAAAGCGGCUCUCUGGCCUGUAACUGACACUGAGGCUCGAAAGCGUGGGGAGCAAACAGG